rnacentral:rRNA from 1 species
AUUGAACGCUGGCGGCAGGCCUAACACAUGCAAGUCGAGCGGUAACAGGAGAAAGCUUGCUUUCUUGCUGACGAGCGGCGGACGGGUGAGUAAUGUAUGGGGAUCUGCCCGAUAGAGGGGGAUAACUACUGGAAACGGUGGCUAAUACCGCAUAAUGUCUACGGACCAAAGCAGGGGCUCUUCGGACCUUGCACUAUCGGAUGAACCCAUAUGGGAUUAGCUAGUAGGUGGGGUAAAGGCUCACCUAGGCGACGAUCUCUAGCUGGUCUGAGAGGAUGAUCAGCCACACUGGGACUGAGACACGGCCCAGACUCCUACGGGAGGCAGCAGUGGGGAAUAUUGCACAAUGGGCGCAAGCCUGAUGCAGCCAUGCCGCGUGUAUGAAGAAGGCCUUAGGGUUGUAAAGUACUUUCAGCGGGGAGGAAGGUGAUAAGGUUAAUACCCUUAUCAAUUGACGUUACCCGCAGAAGAGCACC